rnacentral:rRNA from 1 species
GGUUGGUGGAGUGAUUUGUCUGCUUAAUUGCGAUAACGAACGAGAUCUCUGCCAAUAAAUAGAUGCUGUUUCCACUUUGUAGGCCGGUGGGUGGUUCAAGCUUGCUUGACCACUAUUCUCCGUGCUGAGGAGACAGAGUUUUACUUAUUGGGAUUAUGCAUCCUCUAAAUGCAUUGAGACGAGAGCCAAUAGCAGG